rnacentral:rRNA from 1 species
AGCAGUGGGGAAUAUUGCGCAAUGGGCGAAAGCCUGACGCAGCGACGCCGCGUGAGGGAUGAAGGCCUUCGGGUCGUAAACCUCUGUCAGGAGGGAAGAACCGCCAUGGUGCUAAUCAGCCAUGGUCUGACGGUACCUCCAAAGGAAGCACCGGCUAACUCCGUGCCAGCAGCCGCGGUAAUACGGAGGGUGCAAGCGUUAAUCGGAAUCACUGGGCGUAAAGCGCGCGUAGGCGGCCUUUUAAGUCAGAGGUGAAAUCCCACGGCUCACCCGUGGAACUGCCUUUGAUACUGGAGGGCUUGAGUGUGUGAGAGGAUAGUGGAAUUCCUGGUGUAGGAGUGAAAUCCGUAGAGAUCAGGAGGAACAUCUGUGGCGAAGGCGACUAUCUGGCACAAUACUGACGCUGAGGUGCGAAAGCGUGGGUAUCAAACAGGAUUAGAUACCCUGGUAGUCCACGCUGUAAACGAUGGAUACUAGGUGCUGGGGGCUCGACUCUCGG